UGGGGAAUCUUGGACAAUGGGGGCAACCCUGAUCCAGCCAUGCCGCGUGAGUGAAGAAGGCCCUAGGGUCGUAAAGCUCUUUCGCCUGUGAAGAUAAUGACGGUAGCAGGUAAAGAAACCCCGGCUAACUCCGUGCCAGCAGCCGCGGUAAUACGGAGGGGGUUAGCGUUGUUCGGAAUUACUGGGCGUAAAGCGCGCGUAGGCGGACUGGAAAGUUGGGGGUGAAAUCCCAGGGCUCAACCCUGGAACUGCCUUCAAAACUAUCAGUCUUGAGGUCGAGAGAGGUGAGUGGAAUUCCGAGUGUAGAGGUGAAAUUCGUAGAUAUUCGGAGGAACACCAGUGGCGAAGGCGGCUCACUGGCUCGAUACUGACGCUGAGGUGCGAAAGCGUGGGGAGCAAACAGGAUUAGAUACCCCCGUAGUCC
rnacentral:rRNA from 1 species